AUCCAGCUGACGAGUCCUGAAUAGUGUGAAACGCACGUCCUGGAU
rnacentral:hammerhead_ribozyme from 1 species